CCCGGCACAAGCGGUGGAGUAUGUGGUUUAAUUCGAUGCAACGCGAAGAACCUUACCUGGUCUUGACAUCCAGAAAUCCCUUGGAAACUUGGGAGUGCUUCCAUUAGGAAGAAUCUGGAGACAGGUGCUGCAUGGCUGUCGUCAGCUCGUGUCGUGAGAUGUUGGGUUAAGUCCCGCAACGAGCGCAACCCUUGCCUUUAGUUGCCAGCAGUUCGGCUGGGCACUCUAAAGGGACUGCCGGUGUUAAACCGGAGGAAGGUGGGGAUGACGUCAAGUCCUCAUGGCCUUUAUGACCAGGGCUACACACGUACUACAAUGGCCGAUACAAAGGGCAGCGACAUCGCGAGGUGAAGCCAAUCCCAUAAAAUCGGUCUCAGUCCGGAUUGGAGUCUGCAACUCGACUCCAUGAAGUUGGAAUCGCUAGUAAUCGUGGAUCAGCAUGCCACGGUGAAUACGUUCCCGGGCCUU
rnacentral:rRNA from 1 species